GAUGAAGAACGCAGUGAAAUGCGAUACGUAAUGUGAAUUGCAGAAUUCAGUGAAUCAUCGAAUCUUUGAACGCACAUUGCGCCCGCCAGUAUUCUGGCGAGCAUGCCUGUUCGAGCGUCAUUUCAACCAUCAAGCCCCAGGCUUGUGUUGGAGCCCUGCGGCUGCCGCAGCCUCCCAAAACCAGUGGCGGGCUCGCUAUCACACCGAGUGCAGUAGUUUACUCUUCGCUCAGGGCGUGUGGCGGGUGCUAGCCGUGAAACCCCCAACUUCUCAAGGUUGACCUCGGAUCAGGUAGGAAUACCCGCUGAACUUAAGCAUAUCAAUAAGCGGAGGA
rnacentral:misc_RNA from 1 species